AAACAUUAACGUGAACUGACAAUAUUUACGGUAAUAAUAUGAUUUGACAACUUCUCCAACUUACCAGAAUCUAGGAGAAAACAAAACAGAUGUGACUUUUCUUAUAAAGGCUGCUGUAUAACUUGCUCGUUUCCUCAUGAUGAAUAAAUGUUUCUUCCAUGGAUUGAUACGGUAAAAUGAAAGUGAGAACGUAAGUCGGAAAUCCGUGAGAGCUCAUAGCUGUCAACACGACAGUAACCAAAGGAACUAUUGUUAUUUGGGUUUGAGUUUCCCGAGGGACCGAUAUAGUUGACGGACACAGGAAGUGUGUGUCCUUACAUUUGUUAAGGUCCGAAUUGCGGAGCUGCAAUAAACGUCGACUCAAAUGAGUUCAAGAAACUAAAUUCUGUGCUUUAUGAAGAGUGAAAAAAGCAGAAUUUAACACAGACGAAAUCAUUCGGCCGAUUAGAAUGCAGUUCCUCUAACCGAUGCAUUUACAUCACUACCCUUUGCAGCCAACAGUAAAAAAAAAAAAAAAAAAUCCAGUAAAGCUGUCAAUGACAAGCCUCUAAACAAGAUGCUGCAAUCUGGAAAAACAGAAGAUAACUUACUGCGGAUGUCUCUGCGCUGUGACCAAGUAGAUGUGAUCGCACGCCACUGAUGCUCGCUGUGAAAGAUGGUUACCGUGGUGAUUUGUGACCGCACUGCGCAUGUCACCCAGCUUGCGGCAGCUUCCGGAAGUAGAAGAGGAGGUCAGCUUUCACACUCACUCAUCUAAUGGAAA